AUUGGGGGUACUUCAAAGGUAAAAGUACCGAAUCCCGUCAGGUCUGGAAGGAAGCAGCGGUAAGUAUUCGAGCCUUGUGAAGUAUUUCCCAUUGAU
rnacentral:SRP_RNA from 1 species